UGGGGAAUAUUGGACAAUGGGCGCAAGCCUGAUCCAGCCAUGCCGCGUGAGUGACGAAGGCCUUAGGGUUGUAAAGCUCUUUUAGCAGGGACGAUAAUGACGGUACCUGCAGAAUAAGCCCCGGCUAACUUCGUGCCAGCAGCCGCGGUAAUACGAAGGGGGCUAGCGUUGUUCGGAAUUACUGGGCGUAAAGCGCACGUAGGCGGAUUAGUUAGUCAGGGGUGAAAUCCCGGGGCUCAACCCCGGAAUUGCCUUUGAUACUGCUAGUCUUGAGUCCGAGAGAGGUGAGUGGAAUUCCUAGUGUAGAGGUGAAAUUCGUAGAUAUUAGGAAGAACACCAGUGGCGAAGGCGGCUCACUGGCUCGGUACUGACGCUGAGGUGCGAAAGCGUGGGGAGCAAACAGGAUUAGAUACCCCCGUAGUCC
rnacentral:rRNA from 1 species